ACCCGACCGCCACGCCGCCCUCGUCCCCAGAUCCAUCCGCGGCGCCGCCCUCGUCCCCGGAUCUGGCUGUCGCACAGCCGCCACCCCCGGUUUUGGCCGUUGCGCCGUCCCACCACCACCCUUGAGCACCACCGGCUCCCGUCGUUGGAUUGGUUUGCCGCCCGACACCCAUACCACUGCUGCCAACCUCGUCGGCCCAUGAUCCAAGCACCACCGCCAUCGCCAUCCGCCUGAACCACAGCCAUGCAUCGACGGAGACCCCGCACUCCACUCAGGCGCGAUUCACAGCCCGCCUCGCGUUCCCCACCGGCUCGCCCUGUCGCCUGCACCGUGCUCCCCACCGGCGCACCCCUUCCCCGUUCGGCCAUCCCCCAUGCUUACUUCGUCACCACCUGCAGCUAGAGGAGGCCUCGGCCUGCAGCUCACCGGCGCACCCCGUCCCCGUCCGCCAUGCCUACCUCGUCACCACCUGCAGCUAGAGGAGUUCUCUGCCUGCAGCUAGUGGAGGCCUCGGCCUGGAGCUAGGUGGCACAUCCGUCAGAGUGGAAGCAGCGGGAGGACAGAGGACCAUACCUCACGGCCAUCACCCGCCAGGCCUGAUGCCCUUCUUGAGGAGCAUUGUAGUGCUUGACAAUGGCCGUGAAGAGGCAAGUGUUGACUCUGUGCAGGUAUCUAUAUGGGACGCACAUCCUGUGUUUCCUAAAAUGCCACCAUGAACAUGAAUACUACUUCAGUACUCUGUUAGUAGAGUGCACUUCAGUUUCCCUGUCAAGCUGCAUAGAUAGAACCAAGUUCCUGUCAAGCUGCUGCUGCUACCGCCACAUUGUAUUCAACGGAUCUGCGGCCGCUGCGCUGCCCGCCGAGCAGCUGCCGCCGCCGUGUCAAAUUCAAACUGCACGUAUGCGUUGCAAUCUAAGACAAGGAGUCACGUUUGAUCUCCAUAGGUAAAAACCAAAAAUCAUCAUCUGUUAUACUUGGAGUUUCAGUGAUCAAAAUUGCAAAAUCAUUUGAUUUUAAUUGCUUGGAUGAUUCAGUGCUAAACAUUGCAGUAACACUUGAGCUUCAGUUCUACAAAUUUCAAUCCUUCGUUAGUAGAGUGCACUUCAGUUUCCUUGAGAAAACUGAAAACUGCUAUAUUCGGAUUGUGCUUGGCACGGCUGUACCUGUAUUUUUGGUGCUUGGCAUGGCUGUACCUACAGACCACUAGCAAACUUGGGGCACUUCAGACUUCUGAGGACUAGAUAGAGGAUGGGAUGCGAAUUGCGAUGCAACUACGGCAUCUCAACCGACAUGGCGGCGAGAGUGGCUCGACCGUAACGCAGUGGCUGCAGCUCGACGGUGACGACGCGGAGGCGGCUCCAUUGGAUGUAACAUGACGGCGGCGACGGAGGAGGCAGCUUGACGGCGACGCAACUGCUGUAGCUCAAUAGCAACGAGGGCACAUCGGCUCGACGAUCCGCUACUUUUCUGAUCCAUGCAUCACGCCUCUCUUUAAUUUUUGGCGCGAGAAGAUUCAGAGUAUAGAGAAACAAGCAAGUUCGUUCAACUAUGCUGUCCUGGUCCGUUCGCCUCGACCCUAAGUCGUGCAACGAUGGAGCCGCCGGCUGUUCAUGAACAUAGCACCCUGGAUCUUGCUGCCCACCAUCCAGUUCAACUUCUGCUGAAUUCGGUUCAGCUAGCCUGUGUAUGUGGCUACCAAAGUGGCAUGCAUUCAGCUGCGACUCUGUUUUGGUUUCCACAUGUCGCCAACUGCUAUUUGCGUGAAAAAGAUUUAUGUAUACUGGGACCUCCAUGUACUGAACAUGUUAAAAGAUGCUCCACGUCUUAUAAGUGUCCACUCUAUAGAAAAAAAGAACAUAAUUAUAUGCAAUACCAACAAACAAUGCAGCAAGCACUGCUCUCUGAGGUAGCGGGCAGAGAAAAGAAGGUAGUUUAGAGACGUCUGGAGACACCUCGUUGGCGUCAUUUCAGAAAUUCAGAGACAAAACAAAACAUAUGAAAUCCAGAGAAAAGGCAUAUGGAGUUGUUGUGCAGUGUGUUUACCUGCUGCUACACUACUGUGUCCCCAGCCAUGACACCUUAUGUUCGUGUUAUCACCACAAAACUGAGUACAGAAGACUCAAGAUGCUAGUCGCCCUCCACCUCCUCAAAGCACCUCUCUGCUUUCUUGAGAAACCUGCAUGAACCCUAUGCUAUCGCCUCGGUUCUACUGAAACUGAUGUGCACCAUGUUACUGCAGCCUUUGGCUCAUAUUCGUUUAUUUCAUUUCGUAGCUUCGAUUUGAAACUUGUUAAGUUUAUUGUGCGGAGGCUCCACAAAGAUGCCCAAGAAAGUGUGUUAUGGACCUUGUAACUCCUUCCGCUUUUCUGUUCAUGCAUGUACUUCACGUGAUUUGAUGGAA